rnacentral:rRNA from 1 species
CCUACGGGUGGCUGCAGUGAGGAAUAUUGGUCAAUGGGCGCGAGCCUGAACCAGCCAAGUCGCGUGAGGGAUGACGGUCCUACGGAUUGUAAACCUCUUUUGCCGGGGAGCAAGCGUGCGUUCGUGAACGCGCGUCGAGAGUACCCGGAGAAAAAGCAUCGGCUAACUCCGUGCCAGCAGCCGCGGUAAUACGGAGGAUGCGAGCGUUAUCCGGAUUUAUUGGGUUUAAAGGGUGCGUAGGCGGGAUGCCAAGUCAGCGGUAAAAAUGCGGUGCUCAACGCCGUCGAGCCGUUGAAACUGGCGUUCUUGAGUGGGCGAGAAGUAUGCGGAAUGCGUGGUGUAGCGGUGAAAUGCAUAGAUAUCACGCAGAACUCCGAUUGCGAAGGCAUCUCACGAAUCCGCGAUUGACGCUGAUGCACGAAAGCGUGGGUAUCAAACAGGAUUAGAUACCCGAGUAGUC